rnacentral:rRNA from 1 species
GACGAACGCUGGCGGCGUGCUUAACACAUGCAAGUCGAACGGUGAAGCGCCUUCCUUUUUGGUGGGUGUGGAUGAGUGGCGAACGGGUGAGUAACACGUGAGUAACCUGCCCCCUUCUUCUGGAUAACCGCAUGAAAGUGUGGCUAAUACGGGAUAUUCUGGGUCUGUCGCAUGAUGGGUCUGGGAAAGAUAUUGUUUCGGUGGGGGAUGGGCUCGCGGCCUAUCAGCUUGUUGGUGGGGUGAUGGCCUACCAAGGCGGUGACGGGUAGCCGGCCUGAGAGGGUGGACGGUCACACUGGGACUGAGACACGGCCCAGACUCCUACGGGAGGCAGCAGUGGGGAAUAUUGCACAAUAGGCGCAAGCCUGAUGCAGCGACGCCGCGUGAGGGAUGGAGGCCUUCGGGUUGUGAACCUCUUUCGCCAGUGAAGCAGGCCUGCCUCGUUUGUGGGUGGGUUGACGGUAGCUGGAUAAGAGGCGCCGGCUAACUACGUG